rnacentral:rRNA from 1 species
AUCGUCGGUCACAUAAUCGAGAAAGCAUCGCAUCCCGUCUGAUCUGCGAGAUUUUAACCUCGAUAUCGCCUAGUCAGUACCAUCGUGGGGGACCAGAUGGGAAUUCUGGGUGCUGACGUUC